rnacentral:rRNA from 1 species
UGGGGAAUAUUGCACAAUGGGCGCAAGCCUGAUGCAGCCAUGCCGCGUGUGUGAAGAAGGCCUUCGGGUUGUAAAGCACUUUCAGCGAGGAGGAAGGUGGUGAGCUUAAUACGCUCAUCAAUUGACGUUACUCGCAGAAGAAGCACCGGCUAACUCCGUGCCAGCAGCCGCGGUAAUACGGAGGGUGCAAGCGUUAAUCGGAAUUACUGGGCGUAAAGCGCACGCAGGCGGUUUGUUAAGUCAGAUGUGAAAUCCCCGGGCUCAACCUGGGAACUGCAUUUGAAACUGGCAAGCUAGAGUCUCGUAGAGGGGGGUAGAAUUCCAGGUGUAGCGGUGAAAUGCGUAGAGAUCUGGAGGAAUACCGGUGGCGAAGGCGGCCCCCCUGGACGAAGACUGACGCUCAGGUGCGAAAAGCGUGGGGCAGCAAACAGGAUUAGAUACCCUGGUAGUCCAGCGCUGUAAACGAUGUCGAUUUGGAGGUUGUGCCCUUGAGGCGUGGCUUCCGGAGCUAACGCGUUAAAUCGACCGCCUGGGGAGUACGGCCGCAAGGUU